rfam:Eubacterium sp. CAG:274 genomic scaffold, scf59
UAGGAGCGAUGAUGCAGAGGUUGCCUAGAGAUAGGGUUUUCUGCGGAGCGAUGUCCAGUUCAAGAAACCGGGCGACAA